rnacentral:rRNA from 1 species
AACGAACGCUGGCGGCAGGCUUAACACAUGCAAGUCGAGCGCCCCGCAAGGGGAGCGGCAGACGGGUGAGUAACACGUGGGAACAUACCCAUCUCUGCGGAACAACUCCGGGAAACUGGAGCUAAUACCGCAUACGCCCCUAGGGGGAAAGAUUUAUCGGAGAUGGAUUGGCCCGCGUUGGAUUAGCUAGUUGGUGGGGUAAAGGACUACCAAGGCGACGAUCCAUAGCUGGUCUGAGAGGAUGAUCAGCCACAUUGGGACUGGGACACGGCCCGAACUCCUACGGGAGGCAGCAGUGGGGAAUAUUGGACAGUGGGCGCAAGCCUGAUCCAGCCAUGCCGCGUGAGUGAUGAAGGCCUUAGGGUUGUAAAGCUCUUUCACCGAUGAAGAUAAUGACGGUAGUCGGAGAAGAAGCCCCGGCUAACUUCGUGCCAGCAGCCGCAGUAA